GUUCUAUUCCAUUCCAUUCAACCAAACAAUUGAAUUACUAAUUACAGCUCUAUUCUAUUAUAACUCUAUUCAAUUACAACUCUAUACCAUUACAGUUCUAUUUCAUUACAGCGAACCAAACGUGCCCUAGAUUUUUACAUUAGAUUUAUUUUUAAUGACAUAUUUAAAAUGUGGGUUUAUCCCUUAACUUAUAUAUUUUUGGACACAAUGUAAUAGCUCAAAAUUGCCCGGGCCCGUAAAAUAAAUAAAUAAAAACAGAAAUAAAAUUAAGGAAAUAAUAAAAGUCCAUUUACAAUAAACAGGCCUAAAGGCCUGAUGGCUACACUUGUAACCCAACUGGUCUAAACCAGAAUACCCAUUAACCCAGUAGCCCAUUACACUUAAAAGCCCUUGAACCCGAACUAAACCCAAAUUAAUGAGACCCAGGAAGGCCCAAUGCCUAAACUGAAUCUGGAAACCCUAGGGUUUCCAGAAGCUUCGCGCCGCAAACUCCAAACAUCACGCCCCUUCGUCUCGCGACAUUUCAGUGACCCUUCAUCGAUGCCUCCAUUAGCGCCGUGACUAUCGUAAUCUGCACACAAAUCAACACCCCAUCAUCGCCGAAUUUCUCGCUAGUACCUGCAAAAAAAGGAAAGAAGAACAACAGAGGCAAUACAAAUAUGGCAGGGAAUAAAAUCAAGCAUGUAAAUAUUAUUUUCAGUGGCUAUAAAAAGCCCGAAUCAAAAUGAUGUAAAGUGGGAGUUUUUUUUAUAUACAAUAAAAUACAGUAGUUUAUCAAGGAUAUGAGGUCUUUUACAGGCAUAUAUACAAUAAAAAUCAAGAAACAUAGGUGAUUUACUUUUAUUUUGUUUUUUUUGUUUUCGUUGUGAAUACAUACAAAUAUUGCUAAGAAUAUAAAGAAGGGGAAUUUACCGAUGGAUUUGCGCUAAAAAUCGGAGCUUUCCAGCUUCCGGCCACCGUAAGAGGCGGUGUUGACAGAGUUACGUAGGCGCGUGUAAGCCCUUGGACGGAGGCUCGACAGAGCUCCGAGGACCAGCUCUCAACCCUCUUUCAGAGGAUGUUUUUGUUUUUGUUUUUUUUU
rnacentral:lncRNA from 1 species